rnacentral:lncRNA from 1 species
CUUUUCGGGGUCGAGUCCGAGGGGGAAGAGGUUUGUUAAUACGUUCGCCAUGUGCUACGAUCUUGGGACGAACUGAGCCACGAGCGUGGCUUUGAGGGCCGUCCGAACGCUGCAGGCCGGCCAGGUCCCUGGGCGUCCAGGCCUGGCCUACGCACCACUUUGUCCCUUAGCGUUUAAAGGUUUCUUCCCGAAUCUCAGGCCCUCAGCUACCUGCAGGUUUCGUCGCGAGCCGGCUGCAAGUUUUGAACCUAAGUAAACCUCAAUCCGGAGGGCCUAGCGGUAAGGUGGGCGCUGUGUCUAUUGAAGUGCUUAGCAAUAAAGAAAGGUAGUGAGUUGA